GUGCCUGCUUAGGCUGCACAUAUACUAAAAUUGGAAUGAUACAGAGAAAAUUAGUAUGGCCCCUGUACAAAGAUGACAUGCAGAUUCAUGAAGCGCUCCAUAUUUUU
rnacentral:snRNA from 1 species